GCUAGGCGUGCUGGCACAUGCUUGUAAUCCCAACAACUUGGGAGGCUGAGGCAGCAGAAUCACAAGUUUAAGGCCAGCCUGGACAACUUAGUGAGACCCUGUCUUAA
rnacentral:sRNA from 1 species